CUGGCGCGCUGCUGGAGACGGCGCCCGAGCGCCCGCCGCACGAGCACCCGCCUCUCGCUGUCCGGCGCUGCCCCGGAGCCGGCCGCGUGCCUCGAGGGCGGGCGUGUCGGGCGGUGCUGGCGCGGCUGAGGGAACGGCUCAGGGGACGGUGCGGCUGAGGGGACGGCGGCCGUGGGGCCGCAGCUUGCUGGGCGGGGGGCCAGGGGCCCGGGGCCCAAGGAGGCCGCGCAGACCUCCCCCUGGGCAGAGCAGUUUUCCCGAACUCUCCACCUCCGCCUCAGUCGGGGCCCAUCGCGCGGGAGACUCCAUCGCGAUCAGCCUGAGAAAGGAAUGUCAUGAAAAAGGAACAGAAAAGAAAUGUCAUUGUUGGUGAAAGACAAGCUUUAUUUCCCAGUUGGUGGUUACUUCAUGAUGGGAAGAGGAGAAAUACCUAGAUGGCUGAAGAGAUUAGAUUUUUACAGUUGUACAGAUGAAGCUGAUAAAGAAAUGCAUGAAAAUGCUUUCUCUGGGUCAUAAUAGGCUGCUGAGUAAGUAAGCCCGAAAAAAGACAAAUUUGAAAUGAGUGCAGGAAUUUUGAUUUUUUGUAAACCUUGUAGGACUUUGAACAGUUAUUAAUGUUUUUCUCCCAAAAGUGGAAGAAGAAAAAGUUUUCAAAGCAAAAAGUGUAAAAAGUUGAAACAGCAACUGAGUCCACUCCAAGAAUUCUAGUACUUCAUCAACUUCUGUAGAGAAAAGCAUCCAAGCACAUCUUACGUUGGGGUGAUUGCAUCACCAGUGAUGGUUGCCUAUGCUAGGAAUGACUCAAUUUGGAUUGGGGGGUGCUUUCUCAUUUUCUUUUUUACAUCAUAUAUUUCUACUCUUCAUGUAAGACAAAAGAUUUAUGUAAAGGAAGUAAAUGCUGAAUUCAUAGCAUGUUUGACUAUCAUACUGUUGUUCCCUGUGUGUUAACAGAAAAAUUGGAGGUUUUAACAUUAUUUGUAUUGGAAGCAAAACUGUCAGGAACACAGAUAUCCGAUAUAAAUUUUCUCAUUUUGGCAACUUCACUUGCUUUGCAUGAGCCGAUUGUCAGCUGGAUUUCACAGCAUAUACGAUUUACAGUCUUUGUUUUAUCAAGGCCUUAAAUGUAUGUUUUAUACUAACCAGAUGGGAAACACGUUGAGCACUAUGUUUGACAUGUAUGCCUGAGGAAAAGAACUCCCUGAUGGAUCAUGGCGUUAAUGUUUACAGGACAUUUCCUUUUUUUAGCAUUAGUGAUGUUUGGUUUCUCUACUUUUGAGGAAUCUGUGAGCAAUUAUUCUGAAUGGGCAGUUUUCACAGAUGAGAUAGAUCAGUUUAAGUCACAGAAGGUUCAAGACUUCAAACCCAACCAAAAGCCGAAGAAAAGCAUGCUUCAUCCAAGUUUAUAUUUUGAUGCUGGAGAAAUUCAAGCAAUGAGACAGAAGUCUCACACAAGCCAUUUGCAUCUUUUUAGAGUUAUCAGAAGUGCAGUGACAGCUAUGCUGUCCAAUCCGACAUACUACCUACCUCCACCCAAGCAUGCUGAUUUUGCUGCCAAGUGGAAUGAAAUUUAUGGCAACAAUCUGCCUCCAUUAGCAUUGUACUGUUUAUUAUGCCCAGAAGACAAAGUUGCCUUUGAAUUUGUUUUGGAAUAUAUGGAUAGGAUGGCUGGCUACAAGGACUGGCUAGUUGAGAAUGCACCAGGGGAUGAGGUUCCUGUAGGUCAUUCCUUAACAGGUUUUGCCACUGCCUUUGACUUUUUAUAUAACUUAUUAGAUAAUCAUCGAAGACAAAAAUAUUUGGAAAAGAUAUGGGUUAUUACUGAGGAAAUGUAUGAGUAUUCCAAGGUCCGCGCAUGGGGCAAACAACUUCUCCAUAACCACCAAGCUACUAAUAUGAUAGCAUUACUCACUGGGGCCUUGGUGACUGGGGCAGAUAAAGGAUCUAAAGCAAACAUAUGGAAACAGAUUGUAGUAGAUGUGAUGGAAAAGACAAUGUUUCUAUUGAAUCAUGUUGUUGAUGGUUCUUUGGAUGAAGGUGUGGCCUAUGGAAGCUAUACAUCUAAAUCAGUUACACAAUAUGUUUUUCUAGCCCAGCGCCACUUUAAUAUCAACAACUUGGAUAAUAACUGGUUAAAAAUGCACUUUUGGUUCUAUUAUGCCACCCUUUUACCAGGUUUCCAAAGAACCGUGGGUAUAGCAGAUUCAAAUUAUAAUUGGUUUUAUGGUCCAGAAAGCCAGUUAGUUUUCCUGGAUAAAUUCAUCUUAAAGAAUGGAGCUGGAAACUGGUUAGCCCAGCAAAUCCGAAAGCACCGACCUAAAGAUGGACCGAUGGUUCCCUCUACUGCCCAAAGAUGGAGUACUCUUCAUACUGAAUACAUUUGGUAUGAUCCUCAACUAACCCCACAGCCCCCUGCUGAAUAUGGUACUGCAAAAAUGCACGUGUUUCCUAACUGGGGUGUUGUUACUUAUGGGGCUGGGUUGCCAAAUACACAGACCAAUACCUUUGUGUCUUUUAAAUCUGGGAAGCUGGGAGGGCGAGCUGUAUAUGACAUAGUUCACUUUCAGCCAUACUCCUGGAUUGAUGGGUGGAGAAGCUUUAACCCAGGACAUGAACAUCCGGAUCAGAACUCAUUUACUUUUGCCCCAAAUGGGCAAGUCUUUGUUUCUGAAGCUCUCUAUGGACCCAAGUUGAGCCACCUGAACAAUGUGUUAGUGUUUGCUCCAUCACCCUCAAGCCAGUGUAAUAAACCCUGGGAAGGCCAGCUAGGAGAAUGUGCACAGUGGCUCAGGUGGACUGGUGAGGAGGUUGGUGAUGCAGCUGGGGAAAUCAUCACUGCCUCUCAACAUGGGGAAAUGAUGUUUGUGAGUGGGGAAGCAGUGUCUGCUUAUUCUUCAACAAUGAAGCUGAAAAGUGUAUAUCGUGCUUUGCUUCUCUUAAAUUCUCAAACUUUGCUAGUUGUUGAUCACAUUGAGAAGCAAGAAGAUUCCCCGAUAAAUUCCGUCAGUGCCUUCUUUCAUAAUCUGGAUAUCGAUUUUAAAUACAUUCCAUAUAGGUUUAUGAACAGGUAUAAUGGCGCUAUGAUGGAUGUGUGGGAUGCGCACUACAAGAUGUUUUGGUUUGAUCAUCGUGGCAAUAGUCCCAUGGCUAGUAUCCAGGAAGCAGAACAAGCUGCUGAAUUUAAGAAACGGUGGACUCAAUUUGUUAACGUUACAUUUCCGAUGGAGUCCACAAUCAUGAGAAUUGCAUAUAUCUUUUUUGGGCCAUAUGUCAAUGUUUCCAGCUGCAAAUUUAUCGACAAUUCCAAGUCUGGACUUCAAAUUUCUCUCAAUGUCAACAAUACUGAACAUGUUGUUUCCAUUGUAACUGACUACCAUAACCUGAAGACAAGAUUUGGUUACCUGGGAUUUGGUGGCUAUGCCAAUGUGGCUGAUCAGGGCCAAAUCACCCGGUUUGGUUUGGGCACACAAGCAAUAGUAAAGCCUGUAAGACAUGAUAGAGUUAUUUUCCCCUUUGGAUUUAAAUUUAAUAUAGCAGUUGGAUUAAUUUUGUGCAUCAGUCUGGUGAUUUUAGCUUUUCAGUGGCAGUUUUACGUUUCUUUUAGAAAGCUGAUGAGGUGGAUACUAAUACUUGUUAUUGCCUUGUGGUUUAUUGAGCUGCUGGAUGUGUGGAGUACUUGCACUCAGCCCAUCUGUGCAAAAUGGACAAGGACAGAGGCCAAGGCAAGCAAGAAGGCCUUGUCGUCUGAAGAGCACCACGUCAGUCUUCCCGAUGUUGUGAUUACCUCACUUCCUGGUUCAGGAGCUGAAAUUCUCAAACAGCUUUUUUUCAACAGUAGUGAUUUCCUCUACAUCAGGGUCCCUACAGCCUACAUUGAUAUCCCUGAAACUGAAUUUGAGAUUGACUCAUUUGUAGAUGCCUGUGAAUGGAAGGUGUCAGAUAUCCGCAGUGGUCGUUUUCGUUUACUCCGAGGCUGGUUGCAGUCCUUAGUCCAAGACACAAAACUGCACUUGCAAAACAUUCAUCUGCAUGAACCCAAUAGGGGUAAACUGUCCCAAUAUUUUACAGCAAAUAAGGACAGAAAAAGAAAAUCGAAAAGGAGAGAGUCUUUGCUGGAACAAAGAAGUAGAAUGAAAGGCACCUUUGAUAGAGAUGCUGAAUAUAUUAGGGCUUUGAGGAGACACCUGGUCUAUUACCCAAGUGCACGACCUGUGCUCAGUUUAAGCAGUGGGAGCUGGACGUUGAAACUUCAUUUUUUUCACGAAGUUCUGGGAGCUUCGCUGAGGGCAUUGUAUGUAGUAAGGGACCCUCGGGCAUGGAUUUAUUCAGUACUGUACAGUAGUAAACCAAGUCUUUAUUCCUUGAAGAAUGUACCAGAGCACUUAGCUAAACUGUUUAAAAUAGAGGGUGGUAAAGGCAAAUGUAACUUAAAUUCGGGCUAUGCUUUUGAGUAUGAAUCGCUGAGGAAAGAAUUAUCAAAAUCCAAAUCAAAUGCAGUCUCUCUGUUGUCUCAUCUCUGGCUAGCAAACACAGCAGCAGCCCUGAGAAUAAAUAUAGAUUUGCUGCCUACCAGCUAUCAGCUGGUCAAAUUUGAAGAUAUUGUACGUUUUCCCCAGAAAACCACUGAAAGUAUUUUUGCCUUUCUUGGAAUUCCUUUGUCUCCUGCUAGUUUAAACCAAAUAUUGUUUGCCACCUCCACGAACCUUUUUUACCUUCCCUAUGAAGGGGAAAUAUCACCAACUAAUAUUAAUGUUUGGAAACAAAACUUGCCUAGAGAUGAAAUUAAACUGAUUGAAAACAUCUGCUGGACAUUAAUGGAUCAUCUAGGAUAUCCAAAGUUUAUGGACUAAAUGCUGCAGGUCAGCACAAAUUUGCACUAAUGCUUUCCAACCCAAUUUGUAGAUAUGAAUUUGAGGAGUUUGUUUAUUCUUGUAUUCUGUGUGUGUGUGUGUGUGUGUAUGUAUGUGUGUUUUCAGUCUGUUACUUGCACGGAGAGAUUAUUUUAAAAAUAGCAUAUUUGGCCUUGCAUGAUUUAUUUUAUCUCACCACUCUCCUUGCCUUUGUUUCUGAAGUUUUUUUUUUUCUGUUAAAUGUUUCUGCUACAGAGGUGUAGAUGAAGUUAUAUCAUGGGGAUCAGGGGAGAUGGAAAGAUUUUAAAGGUGUUUGUCUAACUCUCCUUUAUCUCUAACUGUGCUAAUCUAUCUGGGGACCUCAAACACUGCUAAAGGCCUGCAGUUACUGCUUUACCCAAGCGUCUUUUGCUUUCAAGAUGGACUACAAAAAAUUCGUACCUUUUUUUUUUUUUAAAGGUCUUCUAAUGCAUUUAUCUUACACACACACACACACAGAGUUCCUUUUCUGUGUGUAAUAUUUAUUAGUGAUAUCACUGCAGAAAUGCCAGCUCCUAUUAAAACUAUAGGAUUCCUUUUCAGAAAUACAGAAUGGAUAUGUUUUAUUGAGGUCAGAAACAGUGACCUUAAAAAGCCCCCUUAACUUUAUUUUUUUUUAACUUGGAAAUAAUAAGGACUAUGUCUUGGAACAGUUUGGGUGCCAAGGGCUGGUAGAUUGUUUUAGACAUGCCUGUAUGUUUCCAACGCAGUCUUCUUUGCCUCCCUGAAGCCACAGUACUUCCUCAUCACACCACUUGCACUCUAUCCUUUCUCUCAGGCAAAACAGUAAGUAGUUAGUAAUUGCUAAACUCCCAGUAUUUGUAGGGGAUUUUUUUUUCCCCGAUGGUUAUUUUUGCAUUAAAGCCUACCUAGAUUUAGAAUCAAAUUUUCUUUUGUGGAAUUACCACUGUAUGACUUAAAGAAAGCAGUGUCACUGCUACCAGUGUUUUUUUAGGCUGGAAACAGAAUUGGAAAACUGCCUAUCUUGCAUCCUUUUGAAUGAGUUUACAGACUGCCAGUGUCUGCAAAAGUUGAAGGUAAAUGGGACAUGAUGUCAGAGGCAUCUGUUUCCUUUACCAUCUGCAUGUUAUUAUAAAUGUAGUCAUAGAAUGUGGUUCAUUUUAUUUUGGCCGGCUCUGAAAUCAAAAUGCUGGGCCAUUAUAAGCAAGUGAAGUAAUUACAGUACAUUGGAUGAAAACUAUUAGGUAGUGUCAAGACUUGAUGAAAAUCUCUGUACAGUAGUCUUCUUCCUGAUGUUUCAAACUGUAGUUCCCCCAAACUCUCUAACACUUGGGAGUCUGUCAUUCUGACCUAGAUAAAAGUGAUUGAUUCUCAGUAGUUUGCUAUUAUAUCAAAAUGUGCCUCCAGAGUGAUAAAGCUGUGGAUAUGUUACAUUCCAGCUAAACCUAACUUGGUUGUCAUUUUUCUUCCAUUAUAGUGUGAAUGGAAAGUGCCCUCAACCCGAACAUCUCCCUUCCCGUAGCUCUCACUGCUUUCCCUCUUAAUGGCAGAAUGAAUGAAAAAUCAUAUUGUAUGGAUUGAGAGGGCACUGAAGAUCUGAAUCUAUGCUGUUACUCUCAAGGAAGAUUAUUCUAUUUCAAGGUUAUCAACAAGCAUGUAAAAUUGCUACGUGGAUGAUAAUGCUAUUUCCAUUAUUGUUCAGAGUCUCAGUGUUUGCUUUCAGUUUCCAGGAUGUGUCAUCUUGAACCAGAUCAAAUAAAAAGGCUCUGGGUUGGCAGUAGUAGUAGGUCUGAUGAAGGUAUUGAUUAGAGCAAGGAAAGAACACAAAAAUUGAUUGAGCAUGACGUCUCCCGGUGAGAAAUUGCAUCUCUCCAGAAACUUCAAGACUUAGUAGGAAUUCAUCAAGAAGAGAAGGAGAGGAGAGACAUGCCAGGGAGAAAGAAUCACUCAAGGGAAGGUACAGAAAUGUGUUAUCUGUUCUGUAUUAGGCAUGGUUUACUUCCUCCCCGCCCCCCCCAAAAAAAACAGUUAUGAGGAAUGGGAAUGGGUUUUCAAGUUAGGAGGAGUUAUUACUGGCAAGUUUAUGUAGAGGUCACCACCUAUUUAUUUUUCUUAAUUAUGUUUGACUCUAUACUGGUUGCAAGAAUUGGUAUUGGUAUAGCACCUAACAUCAAUGAGUAGUCCUUCCAAAAGGAAUUUAGGGGUAUCCAUCGGUGUAAAUAGAACUAAACUGUUCACAUUGCUGUCUCUUCACUCCAGCUCAGUCAACUGCCCCAUCAUAUUUAUAACAAAGAAAUUUGAGUUGUAAUUGAAUAUCAAGGAAUGCUCUGAAGAGAAAAGCAUGCCUGAGUGUCGUCUGACUCAUGUAUGCAGAUCAUUGCUAGUAAUGACAGAGAGGGCCAGCUCAGUGUAUUACUCCAGGCUUUAGCUGACCAGCAACAGUUUCUUUUCCCCACCGAGUACCUCUAAAUUCACAGUACCAGGCACUGUUCUUAAUAGUGGAAAUGCAACAGUGAACAAGACAUACUUGGACCCUACCUUAAUGGAGCUGACAAUCUACUGGGGAUUAUAGAGAAACAUGUUCUUAUUCUGACUUUCUUAAAAUUCCUGUACAAAAGAGCCUACACUAAGUGGAAAUGAAAGUUCCUGUCAGUUUUAUAAAUAACAAUCACAUUAUCAAAUGGAAUUCUUUUUAAGAAAAAAGGUAACAACCUGUUCUUUUCCCCACCUUGUAAACAAUGGCAAAAUAAAGCAAGGAAGGGAGGAGGGAGUGAGAAAAGAGAGUAUUCUGAUCCUUAACCUGAACAAAGUAAGGUGAACAAGGAGAAUCAUUUUUAUAAAAAUUGUGUUAAUUAUUCUAUAAACGACUUAAAAGAUUCUUUGAAAUGGUAGUAUAGAUAAAACUUGGGGAGAAAAAAGAUCUCUUUUAUAGUAAGUUGCACUGCUGUUUUUUAUUUCAUUAAACAAUUUCUGUGUUACUCUGACUCUCUGCUAUUCAUAACAUUUUCACUGGCCAAUUUUCAUUGGCCAAGGAUUGGUAGUUGGAAAAUAUGGCCCUGAUGAUAGAAAUAAUGCCAGAGAUCACAUGAUAGAAUUUUGCAACAACAAUGACUUUUUCAUUGCAAAUAUCUUUUUUUUUUUUAACAACAAAACAGCAACUAUAUACACGGACCUCACCAGAUGGAAUACACAGGAAUAAAACUGACUACAUCUGUGGAAAGAGAUGUGGAAAAGCUCCAUAUCAUCAGUUAGAACAAGGCCAGGGGCUGACUGAGGAACAGACCAUCAAUUGCUCAUACGCAAUUUCAAGUUGAAGCUGAAGAAAAUUAGAACAAGUCCACAAGAGCCAAAGUACAACCUUGAGUAUAUCCCAACUGAAUUUUAGAGAUCAUCUGAAGAAUAUAUUUGACGCAUUGAACACUAAUGACCAGAUACCAGACAAGUUGUGGGAUGACAUUGAGGACAUCAUACAUGAAGAAAGCAAAAAGUCAUUAAAAAGACCGUAAAGAAAGAAAAGACAAAUGGAUGUCAGAAGAGACUGAAACUUCCUCUCAAACAUAGAGUAGCUAAAGUGAAAGGAAGAAAUGAUGAAACAAAAGAGCUGAACUGAAGAUUUCAUUACAAUACUUUCUUUCCUUGAUUUGGCUCGAGAAGCCAAAGUAUUGUAAUGAAAUGUGCAAAGACUUCAAGAUAGAAAACCAAAAAGGAAGGAUAUACAUGGCAUUUAUCAAGCUGAAAGAAACUGAAGAAAAACUUCCAAUCCUUGAGUUGUGAUAUUGAAAUUCUACGAGGAAAAUAUUAAUGGAUGCAGGACACAUCCAAAAAAGAUGGAAGGUAUACAUGGAGUCACUGUACUAAGAAGAAUUGGUUGACGUUUAAAUAUUUCAGGACGUAGCAUGUGAUCAAGAACUGAUGGUACUGAAGGAAGAGGUCCAAGCGGCACUGAAGAUUAUGGUGAAAAACACGGCUCCAGGAAUUGAUUGAAUACCAUUUGAGGUGCUUCAACAAAUAGACAGCUACCCGGCCAACUGACUGGAAGAGACCCAUAUUUGUGCCCAUUCCAAAGAAAGGUGUUCCAACAAAAUGUGGAAACUAUCAAAUAAUAUCAUUAAUAACACAAAUGAAAUUUUGCAUGGUUUAAGGUUAAAGGUGUGCGUCAGGUUAUAUCAUUUCACCAUACUUAUUCAAUCUGUAUGAAGAGCAAAUAAUCUGAGAAGCUGAACUGUAUGAAGAAUGCAGUAUCAGUAUUGGAGGAAUACUCAUUAACAACCUGCAAUAUGCAGGUGACACAACCUUGUUUGUUGAAAGUGAAGAGGACUUGAAGCACUUACCUCAACAUAAAGAAAACAAAAAUUCUCACAACUGGACAAAUAAGCAACACCAUGAUAAACAGAGAAAAGUUAGAAAUUGUCAAGGAUUUCAUUUUACUUAGAUCCACAGUCAACACCCAUGGAAGCAGCAGUCAAGAAAUCAUUGUGUUGGGCAAAUCUGCUGCAAAAGAUCUCUAAAAGUCUUAAGAAGCAAAGACGUCACUUUAAGGACUAAAAUGUACCUGACUCAAGCCAUGGUGUUUUCAGUUGCCUCAUGCAUGUGAAAGCUGGCCAGUGAAAAAGGAAGACUGAAGAAGAAUCGAUGCUUUGGAAUUAUGAUGUUGGUGAAGAAUAUCGAAGAUACAUGGACUUCCAGAAGAACGAACAAAUCUGCCUUGGAAGAAGUACAACCAGAAUGCUCAUUAGAAGCAAGGAUGGUGAGACUUUGUCUUAUAUACUUUGGACAUGUUACUAGAAGAGACCAGUCCCUGGAGAAGGACAUCAUGCUUGGUAAAGUAGAGGGUCAGUGAAAAAGAGGAAGACCAUCAACGAGAUAGAUUGACACAACGGCUGCAACAAUGGGCUCAAGCAUAACAAUGACUGUGAGGAUGGCACAGGACCAGGCUGUGUUUCCUUCUGAUGUACAGAGUCCCUAUUAGUCGGAGCUGACUGGAUGUCACAUAACAACGGACUCUCUUGUAAUGAAAUGUUACUUUUCUUUCUAGUGUAUCAAUACUGAAGUUGACGUCCACAUAAGUGUUCCAGGUUUUAACAUAUUCUAGAUGUAUGGUAUUUUUCUGUAUGUUAUCUUCUCUAUUUCUGAACUUGGGAUGCAUGCAUUGUCUUAAGAGAAUAUGGUAGAAGAAAGGAAACAGACAUAUGCCUCCCUGAUGCUCUCCCUUCCUCUUUCAGGAAGUCAGUCAGGUCCUACCAAUUUCACUUUCAUUACUGUGCUGAGUAAUAUAAGCUAAUUCCUGCACUAAAAUUUGGCACCCCUCUAAAAGCAAUGCAUAAUACACUCUUACAUUUUCAUUGUAUGAUGCAAAUAACUGACUAAGCCCUUGUUGUGCUACAGUGGAAGAUGACUGCUCAAGUUUAUUGAUAUUUAUUUGCUUUUUAACUAAGUAUUCAUUUGUUCCCCUCCACCUUGUUCCAGAAAAUUAAUUUUGCUGCAUAUUUGUUUAAACUAAUGGAACUUUAAAAUAUGGCUAUUUUAACUCUACUGAAUUUUUUUUUAUUGUGAUUUAGGCAAAAGUUUACAGAGCAAACUAGUUUCUCAUUAAACAGUUAAUACGCAAAUUUUUGUGUGACAUUUGUUGCUAAACCUACAAUGUGUCAACACUCUCCCCUUCUCUACCACAGGUUCCCUGUUUCCAUUUGUCCAGUUUCCUGUCCCUUCCUGCCUUCUUGUCUUUGCUUUUGGGUGUGCCCAUUAGUCUUAUAUAGAUGAUUGAACUAUGAAGCAUAGCCCUCAUGUGUGUUAUUGUUGACCCUAUAGACCUGUCUAAUCUUUGGCUGAAGAGUGAACCUCAGGAGUGGCUUUGGUACUGAGUUAAAAAGGUGUCCAGGGGCCAUACUCUUGGCAUUUCUCCAGUCUCUGUCAGACCAGCAACCCUGUUUGUGUGUGUGUGUGUUUAUGAAUUUGAGUUCUACAUUUUUUUUCCAUUCUGCCCUGGAGCCUGUAUUGCGAUCCCUGUCAGAGCAGUCAGUGGUGCUAACUGGGCACCAUCUAGUUGUUCUGGACUCAGUCUGUUGGAGGUUUUGGUAGUUGUGAUCCAUUAGUUCUUUGGACUAAUCUUUCCCUUGUGUCUUUGGUUUUCUUCAUUCUCCUUUGCUCCAGCUGGGAUAGGACCAGUAGAUGUAGCUUAGAUGGCUGCUUGCAGGCUUUUAAAACCCCAGUUACUACUCAGCACAGUUGGAUGUACAGCUUUUUCUUUAUAGACUAUGUUAUGCAAUUGAGCUAGAUGUCCUCCAAGACCAUGGUCCCCCACCAUCAUCCUAGUAGCUCAGCAUCUCAGGGCAUUUGAAUGUGUCUGUGAAUCUUCUGUGACUUUGCCUUGGUCAUGUUGUGCUGACUUUCCCAGUCUUGUGUACCAUUUGACCCUUCACCAGAGUUACCACUUAUCUACUAUCUAGUUAGUGUUUUUCCUUUCACAUCCCACCCCUCCCUUGUAACCAUCAAAGAUUAUUUCUUUUUGCGUGGAAACAUUUUCAUGUGUUUUUAUAAUAGUGGGCUCAUACAGUAUUUGGAGGGCAUUAUACCGAAAAUAAGUCAAUCACAAAAGGACAAAUACUGCAUGAGCAAUUUUAAUUCGAUGCUUUAAUGUAAUAUUUCACAAAGCUUUGAAGGAGGAUUUAUAUAUACGUAUGACAACACAUACUACAAAAAGUUAUGACAUUGCUUUCAUGAGACACCCAUGAAAAGAUAAAAGCCCUAUCCAAACGAAAUAGAUGAUUGUUACUGUUCAUGUUCAAACAUUAAUGGGAAGGCUCUGGGUAAUCCAGUGCUAACUAGAACACAGCAUGUUUAGAGUGGCUUGUGGUUAUUUCUUUUUAGAUUUACCAGAGUAAACUAAAGUACACACCCAUUGAGUUAUUUGUUUUUCUUUUGCCCAGCAUUAGCUAUAAAGCUACCCAAAAUAAUCCAGUACUGAAUACAUGAGUAGAAAGAUAUAUGAUUGUAUACACACAUCAGCAUUUGGCAGAAUUCCAUUAUAAUUAGGGGUAUAAAGUUUUCUGUGUAAAACCAACAGGCUCUACUGGUGGAUACUUCACAAGCCUUGUUUGUAACUUUCCCCCAUUUCCUUGCUUAAUUCGAAGGGGGGUAUUUCCAUUACCAUGUUAUAUUUAUUAUUUUAUAUAUUAAAAUUUUAUGUAUUAUGUAAGCUUUGAAUUUGAUAAGCCUGAGUACCAAUCCCCAGUUCGGUAUCAGCUGUGAGAUGUUAGGUGAGUUUCUUAAUUCUUCAAUCUCCAUUUCCCCAUCUGUAUAGCUCCCUCACAGCUGAUGCAAGGAUUGAAUAAAAUGACUUGUGAAAAUUAAUAGAACACUACUUGUUUUCUCUUUAUGACCAUCUCCAAAAAUCUAGCCUGACUGAUGAGAGAGAGACAGCAGAGGUAUGUUUACUUUGAUUCUAUUAUUGUAUGUACCCAACCCCAAAACCCCACUGAUGCAAGUAAAUCCAGUAUGCUCAAGAAAAACUAAAAAAUCAUUCUGGAAAUGAUGAAGACGUUGAAGUUCGAGUAAAUGAAAGUUUGAAUAAAAUUAUUUCUUAAAGUAUAAAAAGGAAUAUUUCUAACUUAAUGUAUUAAUUGCAUAAUUGUGAUUUUACAUGUUUGUGCAACUAAAUAUGUUAAAUAUUAAAAAGAUGUUUGAAUAGUCUAUAUAUCAUAGGUAUAUAUAUUCAAAUUAUCUGAAAAUAUUUUUAAUAUCUUCUCAUUGAGAAAAUAGGGCAUCACCUUAAAUAUGAAUUUGCCUUCUCUUUGGGCAUUUUUGUAUAUGCGCUGUGAAUAAUGUUUUGGCUUAUAUUUUCAUGAUCUUUGUAGUAACUUUUGAUACACAGGUGUUCUUAAUUUGAAUGCAAUAAAAUAUGUCACUGUUU